rnacentral:ncRNA from 1 species
GAGCCGUAUGAGCUGAGAGGCUCACGUACGGAACUGUGAGAGCGUGAGGGUGUGAUCCCCUCGCGCUACUCGAC